UGGGGAAUAUUGCACAAUGGGCGCAAGCCUGAUGCAGCGACGCCGCGUGAGGGAUGACGGCCUUCGGGUUGUAAACCUCUGUUAGCAUCGAAGAAGCGAAAGUGACGGUAGGUGCAGAGAAAGCGCCGGCUAACUACGUGCCAGCAGCCGCGGUAAUACGUAGGGCGCAAGCGUUGUCCGGAAUUAUUGGGCGUAAAGAGCUUGUAGGCGGUUGGUCGCGUCUGCUGUGAAAGGCCGGGGCUUAACUCCGGUUUUGCAGUGGGUACGGGCUAACUAGAGUGCAGUAGGGGAGACUGGAAUUCCUGGUGUAGCGGUGGAAUGCACAGAUAUCAGGAGGAACACCGAUGGCGAAGGCAGGUCUCUGGGCUGUAACUGACGCUGAGAAGCGAAAGCAUGGGGAGCGAACAGGAUUAGAUACCCUGGUAGUCCAUGCCGUAAACGUUGGGCACUAGGUGUGGGGGACAUUCCACGUUUUCCGCGCCGUAGCUAACGCAUUAAGUGCCCCGCCUGGGGAGUACGGCCGCAAGGCUA
rnacentral:rRNA from 1 species